rnacentral:lncRNA from 1 species
AAUCCUCUCGUCUUCAUUUUUGUAAUGGGGGGUGUAUAUAGGUAUCCAUGAAUGUUUUUAUUUUGUUUUUGAUUUAAGCUUGAUAAAACAAAAUAAAACGAAAUAAAAUAAAACAAAAUAAAGUAAAACAAAAUUAAAUAAAACAAACCAAAAUAAAAUAAAACAAAAUAAAAUAGUAAAGUAAAAUAAAACAAAAUAAAACAAAAUAGACAUAAAAACAUAAUAAUUAUAAUGCA